rnacentral:misc_RNA from 1 species
AACGCAUCUUGCGCCCUCUGGUAUUCCGGAGGGCAUGUCUGUCUGAGUGUCAUGAAAUUCUCAAUCUCCUGUUCUUUGUGAUGGGUUGGUUGGAUCUUGGGUGCUUGCUGGAAUUUUUCAGCUCACCUGAAAUGAAUUUGCGAUGUUGUGUCCUUGGAGUUGGCCCGACUAGGCGUGAUGGUGAUAACGUUCGUCUAGGAUCCUUGCUUUUUGCUGGGAGCCGCUCCUGUUGGGCUUUGUCAUUGCACGCUCUACUUUAUCUUUGGUUUAGACCUCAGAUCAGGCAGGACUACCCGCUGAACUUAA